GUGGGGAAUAUUGGGCAAUGGGCGAAAGCCUGACCCAGCAACGCCGCGUGAAGGAAGAAGGUUUUCGGAUCGUAAACUUCUAUCCUUGGUGAAGAUAAUGACGGUAGCCAAGAAGGAAGCCCCGGCUAACUACGUGCCAGCAGCCGCGGUAAUACGUAGGGGGCAAGCGUUGUCCGGAAUGAUUGGGCGUAAAGGGCGCGUAGGCGGCCCGGUAAGUCUGAAGUGAAAGUCCUGCUGUUAAGGUGGGAAUUGCUUUGGAUACUGUCGGGCUUGAGUGCAGGAGAGGUAAGCGGAAUUCCCGGUGUAGCGGUGAAAUGCGUAGAGAUCGGGAGGAACACCAGUGGCGAAGGCGACUUACUGGACUGUAACUGACGCUGAGGCGCGAAAGUGUGGGGAGCAAACAGGAUUAGAAACCCCUGUAGUCC
rnacentral:rRNA from 1 species